rnacentral:lncRNA from 1 species
UCCUACAUUUAUUUAAUCCUGGAAUUUAUUUUCUCAAGAAAUACAAAGAUAAUUCUGAGAAAAAUAUUUGAGGGAUACUGCUUUUGAUAAUGAAAACAGUUUAGAAUACAGAAGUGACGUAUUCAACCCUGAACUCAAGGAAGAUAAAUUUGGCAGCAGUGUGUAGGUUGGAACUCAUAGCCACGAUAACUUUCCUUUCCUUGGGUUGUAAUUCCAUCGCUGAAAGCGAAUACCUUUGUGAAUGGAAAUUCUUUGUUCUCAGCUCUGAUUCUUUCCACCUCUCUUAGACUAGCAAAUUAAAGAUAUUACAAAGAAAGGAGACAUUAAUUAUAUUGCACAAAUUAGUUAUGAAGCUAUGUACAGCUCAUUCUUUUUCAGGACAAGAGCAAGAAGAAAACCAAUACAUUUUGUUCCUUAAUUUUAUUAAUGUCUGGAAGAUGUGUACUGAUGAGGCAUCAGUACUGAAUGAUCUGGCAGCCAACAGUUGAUCUGCUUUGGAGAGAUGACAAUUUGUUCUUAACUGGCUUUUCAUUUCACGUCGCACAUUUCUUCAGCUCUCUCUGUCCUGCAUCUUCUUUAUGUGUGAUACACACAUGUGCUCUAUCACGCCUGCCCACUCAACCCUGAAAUACCGAAACCUGGAGCUGGGGAAGUGCUGGUAGGAAACCAAGACAUUGAAGAGUCCAUCUCAUCUCUCACACUACACAAAGGGUCUGGUACAAAUGGCUCUUUGAAGCGCUAUCUGUGAUCUGUGUUAGCUCAGAAUCCUUCCUAGUCGUUAGCUCAGAAUCCUUCCUCGUCGUUAGCUCAGAAUCCUUCCUCGUCUCCACUUCCUUCAUUUCCUAGCCACUGUUCUCAGUUGUUAUCUUGUCCUCUAGGCGUCCCUCUUAUCACUCUGUCCUCCUACUUCAGUGAACCUUAUCCUUGCUUCCUCCAUGUCUCCUCUAAAAACAGUGGCCUUUAAAGCAGAAGUGUCUUCGUAACAUUACAAACGA